ensembl:lncRNA
CGGAGGGCAGGUGGGUGAGUAGAGUGAACUGGAGCCUAUGAAGCAACAAGAUGAAGGUGAGUAUUGUCACGGAUGGAGUUAGCUGAAAGGCUGUAGAAACAAACAAAAGGUCAGUUGCUUUCUGUGGGAAACUCUUCUCAACAAAAGUGUGGUGGUCAGCACUAACUGUGGCUAGCAGAACACUUGGCAAGGACUAGUGGUGACGUGAGCGGUGGUGAGUCUUAAAAGCCGGCAGCAUAAUUGCUUGCAGUUGUGGAGACGCGCCAGAGUGCAGCCACUCCGCCCACAGGUGGAGACAGCAACUCAGAUGAAGACCCCAGCACUCACCCAGACCAUGACACUUGUGCUGUAUUCCACAACUGCUCUUGACGUGGUUGCUGGUGUUUGACACUAAUUCAUGGAGUGGACGUUGAUUGCUAAAAACAGCCUUAGAGAGUUUUCACUUGUGUUGUAAUUCUUAUACCUCUAAGGACAGCAAGAAAUCCUGCUGCAGACCAAACACACCAGUAAGCCCACAGCAGCAGUGAAAGGAAAGAAAUCUAUUCUUGCAUUUUUAAAAUCUCUCUUUUUACUACCAACUUUUACUGCCUUGGAUAUGGGAUCCAUCACAACUAUCAAUUUGUCUUUUCUUAUAAUUGACAAUUAGCAAAAUGUAAGGAGUAAGGUACCAAGUGACGAUGCAUGUCAGUAAAUAAAAAAGGAAAUGUUGAAAUAAAAUUUUAAAACAUGUUUAUCGCUCUUUAAACAUUCAUCAAAACUUUGGAAAACCACUGGAAAUGGGCAAAGGAGCUCUCGAGCUGCAGGUCUAAGACCUUUGCUCUAGUCAUCAUAGGUGGUAACACAAUUUAUGAAACAAAGUAUUAGAAAUAUAAACCAGUGUCAAGUGUAUGCAUUAUCUGUUGACAGUUUGUGUGCGUGUCCAGUGUGUUCUGCAACAGUGUUACUGUUGUAGACUUUAACCACAAAAUGCAGAAGGAAAUAUCUGAGGUCCUCUGUGCUAAACGUUCAUCACCUCAACCUCAGAGAACAUAAUGAAAUUGGAAAUUAAGCAAAAUAUUUCUGAACAACUACUAAAGUUUAAACAUGAGCCACUAAUCAUGAAGAAGUAAAGAAUUUGAGGCUGUGCUAACAUCAGUUUUACUGUAGAGGGCAGUGUUGGGCUGUACAUAGGAGCCCUUGAGCAGUUUAUUCUUAUAAAUGUGAGAAAAGGUGGCUACUGGGUAUAGCAUUCAAAAACUAUCAAUUUGUAACAAUCAGCAUUAUGGACUUGAUUAGAUUAUGGUCUUAUGGUCCUUUGACAUCUGCAGCCAUACAAUACAGUUGCAGUAACAGCAGCAAUAGUAUAAUGAACAGAUUGAUAUGCAGCUUUGAAGUGAACAUGUCUCAUUUUGGAAAUGCAUGUUCACUCAGCUGCUUUGUAUUUUUAUGUCUUCAUUGCCUCAUCUACUUGCAUCUAUCAUCCAGGGAAGAAGGAUUUUUAUAAUCGAGUGGUUGCAUGCUUGUGUUUUAAUGUUGAGUGUAUUUUAGUGUUGCAUGCUUUUAUUGUAUUUAUUUGGACUUCUCCCGGAGAGACUCCCCCCCCCCCCUCUGCUUCCCCAAUGAGAUACACCUGGAGGGCACAGGGGACAGGAAUCAAUCGGGCCUCCCUUGUUGGCAGCGGGCAAUAAGAGCCUCUGGCAGGUGAGAGAAGGACGUGUGUACGCAGGGCAGCAGGAGAGCCGGAGUAGCGUGGCUGUGCGGGAGGACGCCGCCAAAGGUAGCGCGAGCAACGGAGCGGCAACUGGCGGCAAGGCGCGGCAGCAGUAGAAGGAGAGCGGGCCUUCAGUCAGUGGACGGCAGCCCCUUCCACGGUGGCAGCGAGACGUCAGUGAAUGGUUAAGGCACGGAACAGCGGCGGGCGGAGUUCAGAGCUCUGCCCUCCCGGUGGAACCUCAAGCGGAGCAGCGAGGCGACAACAGAGGACGCGGUUGGCCUGGUUCCCACUGGUGGAAUCGGCGGAUUCUUCAUGGCUGAAGUGUGGCGGAGCCUGACUCGGAACUUUGGGACUGAGCACCAUUAUUUUUUUAUUGUGCUGAGUUUUAUGUUUUUUCUCUCUCCCCUGAUCAGGGUAUUUUUAGUGUUGUAAAUAAAGCGUAUUUAAUUUUUAUUGACUA